CUGUUGCAAGGUUAGCUAGGGU
rnacentral:siRNA from 1 species